AGAACAAAAAUUGUAAAAAAAAAGUUUUAACUUUCAAUUUAAAUUUCGAUUUAAAUAAAACUGCAAUCACUUCCUACGGUUGCUCUUCUCGAAUUUGAAUUCAAAUUUGCAAUGAUCAUGAAAUCUCGUUCUGUUGUAUGGUUUCGUUAUCUUUCUGUAAAUUAAUACUUAGUUGCCUCUAUAUCAGAGUGAGAUAGCUAACUUGCAACAGAAUAGUGGGUGGGGAAAAAUCUCCCAUCCUUAUUAAUUUUUUUUCUAACCCCCCUUGUCUAUAAUCUAAGUUUAAACACACAUGUAAACACAUAAACAAUAACACUAUCUUUUGAUUCCCUUUAAUUAAUCUCAUAGUAAUCCCAAUCCCAAUUAGUCGUACCAACACCAUUUGAACUAACCUUAAACCUAAAACAUUAAAAUUCCCUUAGAAAUCCAAAAAAAACAUAAACACGAACAAACCUAACUGAGCGAAAAUUGUGGAACGCAUUUUUAUUUCCCCCUUUUCCUUUUUAAACAACUGAGAUAGAUAUAUCUUUUCAUGUGUAAAGAUGAAUCGGCAUGAUGAUUGAAUUGAUAAUUUGUCGAAAUGUCAAAUGAAAACAAUUCAUAUUCAAUCCUCAUGGCGAUGGCGGUUCGUUUUACAAAUGGUAUCAUAAAUUAUUUUCGUGAAAACUCAAGACAUGAGGACAAAAUUCUUAUUCAAGAAAACUACAAUCAACAAAAUUAAAAACACCAACAAAAAUUCGCCUCCAAAAAAAUCAACCACAACAUCAAGGGAUGAGACAUUUUUUUUUUUCAUGUCAAAUGUUCCCUGGCGAGCGAUCGGUUGUGGUGGAGGUGUUAGAGCUUCCAUUUGCUCAGUGGUUCCCUCAAGAACAGACUUUACACCCUCAAGUCUUCAUGGAGCUGUGACCGCCUGCAGAUGUCUGUCCAGGACAAUCUCCGUCCAGCCAGGUUUUUUUUUGUAUUCAUAUGAACUUUAUACAUCUAUGUGUUGUGUCGUCUGUUGCUACUUCUUUUAUACUUUAAUAAAAGAUACUAAUCCUAAGUAA